CAGCACGUCAAGCCAUCCUCACCACGGACUGGGGGGCUCAAAUAGCACCCAGGUAUUUCCUCACGGUUCUGGAAGCUGGAAGUCCCAGAUCAGCGUGCCACUAGACUUGGUUUCUCCUGAGGCCUGUCUCCUUGGCUUGUCCAUGGCCGCCCUCUCGCUGUGUCCUCCUACGGCCCUUCCUCUGCGUGCACGCAGGAGGGGCAAGCUCUCUGGUGCAUCUUCUGGAAAGGACCCCAGUCCUGCUGAAUGAGGGCCCCGCCCUGACGAGCUCAAACCUCAGCCACCUCCUCAGUCACACGGAGGGCGGGGGGAGGUUAGGGCUUCUACAUAGGAAUUUGGGAAGACAGAGUUCAUUCAUUCGUUCCAUUGCAGGGAGGGGCCUUGGACUCUUAGCAGACCACCGUGGACAUUCUCCCACCAGGCCAGGUGUGGCCCAGGACCCCUGCUUUCUUCUCAGGAGCCCACUGAAACGAGGCUGGAACUUUCUAGAAACCUCUGUGAUGGCAAAUGAGAGAGUACCCAAUGGAAGCCUUACUAACCAGCUUUGGAAGUCACCCGCCAUCACUCCCACCAGAUUCUCUUUGUUAGAAGGCGGUCACGGGGGCUGGCCUUAUUCAAGGGUAAGGGAUUGGAACCCACCUCUCGACGGCCGGAAAGUCAAAGGCUUGGCAGCCAUGCUUGAGGAUCGCCGCAGCGGCUCCCAGCGCCCUUCCCAUUCCCACAGGACUCGGGACGUACGGCUCUACCCUUCGCGAUGCGUGGUCUCUCUUCCCACAGGACCGCCAUCACACCACCUACAGCCUUCGUGGGAGCCAGACCAGGAGAGAACGCCGUGCUUUCUCUCUGGCUGAGGCCAGACCGAGACUCUGCACAGGGGAAUAACUUGGUGCCCCUCCACAGAAGGAAAAAAAAUGGAUUUCCCACCAAUACAUUUCCCACCAUGUAAAACAAGAUGGAGGUGUGUUCCUCUCUCACGAGCAGGCUUAUGUGUGACAUGCGAGCCCUGGUUUAUUAAGUCCUUAGGGACCCAGACUGCCGCUUUGCCAGGCAUGGCCUCCCGUCCCCAGGUCACCUGUUGGUCCCAACUGACUGCUACAGUGACAUUCCGGCCAUCGGAGAGGAGAAAGGACCAAGAAGAAGCAGUAGAGGGUCCCCAGAACUGAAUUGUGAUACUUCUGAUUAUAGCCUAUUGGCCAAAACUCACCCACGUGGUCACUCUUAGCUGUGAGGGGCUGGGACGUGGGGUCUGUAUUCCGGGGGCCACGUGCCCCGCUCCAGUCGCUGAUCCUCUUAGCGGGGAAGAGGGGGGAGAAAAGACACCGUAGGUUAAGAAGCGGACUCCGCCAAACUUAUUAAUUAAAACGUUUUAUGCGCAGACAGAUUUACUCACUAAUUUACCUCCCCUGGCUGUAGAAAAAUUAAUGGUCUAAAAAAGGGGCAAAGUGUCUUACA